ACGCACGCCGGCGGCGUGCUUAACACAUGCAAGUCGAACGAAGAGCGAUGGAAGCUUGCUUCUAUCAAUCUUAGUGGCGAACGGGUGAGUAACGCGUAAUCAACCUGCCCUUCAGAGGGGGACAACAGUUGGAAACGACUGCUAAUACCGCAUACGAUCUAAUCUCGGCAUCGAGGAUAGAUGAAAGGUGGCCUCUACAUGUAAGCUAUCACUGAAGGAGGGGAUUGCGUCUGAUUAGCUAGUUGGAGGGGUAACGGCCCACCAAGGCGAUGAUCAGUAGCCGGUCUGAGAGGAUGAACGGCCACAUUGGGACUGAGACACGGCCCAGACUCCUACGGGAGGCAGCAGUGGGGAAUCUUCCGCAAUGGACGAAAGUCUGACGGAGCAACGCCGCGUGAGUGAUGACGGCCUUCGGGUUGUAAAGCUCUGUUAAUCGGGACGAAAGGCCUUCUUGCGAACAGUUAGAAGGAUUGACGGUACCGGAAGAGAAAGCCACGGCUAACUACGUG
rnacentral:rRNA from 1 species